AUUGAACGCUGGCGGCAGGCCUAACACAUGCAAGUCGAGCGGAGCGGCGGACGGGUGAGUAAUGCCUAGGAAUCUGCCUGGUAGUGGGGGAUAACGUCCGGAAACGGGCGCUAAUACCGCAUACUAUCAGAUGAGCCUAGGUCGGAUUAGCUAGUUGGUGGGGUAAAGGCCUACCAAGGCGACGAUCCGUAACUGGUCUGAGAGGAUGAUCAGUCAAACGUGAAAUGGGGAACGGGCCAGAACCCGACGGGGGGCAGGAGGGGGGAAUAUUGGACAAUGGGGGGAAGGCUGAAUGAGCCAAGCCGGGGGGGAGAAGAAGGGCUUAGGAUUGUAAAGCACUUUAAGUUGGGAGGCGUUACCAGCAGAAUAAGCACCGGCUAACUUCGUGCCAGCAGCCGCGGUAAUAC
rnacentral:rRNA from 1 species